UCCUCAUCGGGUGCAGGCGGCUCAGCCCUGGCAGCAGGCCCAAGCUUGGGCAGCAGCAGGAACCCCCACUCAGCCCUGCCACCUCGGACCUGGGACGGACAGGGAGGGGGCAGGGUCCCAGGUCUGUCUGGCUUGGGCAGGACCACUCAUGUGGUGUGAGGACAGAUGCUGCUCGGCGGGUGCCCUCCACCUGGCAGAACACAGGCAGGAGGCAGGAGGCAGAGCGCUUGAGAGUCUGGACCUUGGAAUCCAGCCGCCGUCGAUGCUCAACGAUGGAGCCACUGCAGCGGGGCAGUACCUGUUAUUGGUGAUUCGUUGAGAAAAUGCCCGAAAACACCACAGAGCCUAACACAGAGCAGCUGCUCAGUCAACGGUCCCUGUCGCUUGCUGUCACCUGGAGAGAGGGACUGACAGGUGGGCCCCACAGCUCCUGGGAAUUCACACACUGGGCGCAGACACCCUGGAGAGAUGGGAGUCAGAGGCCUGGAUUCUAAUUCCAACUUCACCACCAUCUGGCUGCUUAAAGCCAUGUAAGCUCUGAGCCACCUUGGGCCUCAGUUUCUCUGCCUUUAAAAUGGGCACAAAAAUCCUGCCCUUAC